UCUUGUGUUCAAGAAGGAUAGUAUGGACCGAGUUAAAACUUUUCAGCACUUCCACGACAGAAUUGCUUUCCUUUUUGAUUUCUUGCAUGUAAGUUUGCAAUACACUCAUGAGUGUAUUCCAUGUGCCAGAGAGUGGUCCGAAGGAAAGGAUGUUCUCCGAUCUCCUGAAGGAGCAAUGUGCCUUCACCAUAAAUCAGAUUUGAAGAGAUUAACACCCUCUUUUGUUUUCUGCCUUUCAAGCCUCACCAAGCUGAUUAUCAGUAUCCUUUUAUGUCACAUAAAAAUCAAUAUCUGAUCCAUCCAGUGUUUUCUGGUGUAAGAGAGGAUAGAGAACACUUGGAGAAAGACAUUCAUUUUUAUCCAAGAGACUCAGCCAAACAUAGAUCAUGGUAAGUUAUGCCACUUCUGAAGUAUAAAGAAGAGUGAGUGCAGAUACAGAAUCUUAGUAUUUAUUGCUGUCAUCAGGUUUAAGGUAAUUUUUGUCUGAUGGGUGGCCAAAUCACAGUUCCACAUGCAGUGGAUGUGUUUGGUUUUGGAGACCUGUCUUCCUUAUCUGCUCCGACUACUUCAGAGCUGUGGGUCUGAUACCAAAUUCAGCAGGACUGGCUGUCUCAGUGCUCGGUUUAGAAAGCUAUUUCUGCAAAUUAAUUAUUUGAGGAGCCACAAAUUAAUGCUUGAAAUCAAGACCUUAAAAGGAUUUAGCUAAGAGCUUAAGGGCACACUGUUUUACUUCAGUGUGGUAUCACAUGACCCUCCUUUUUUUUUUUUUUGGUAACAAUCAGAAACAGAUUUAAGUUAUAAAGCAUUUAAAAAACAAAGUCAAUGAAGUAAUGGCUUGGUUCUUGUGAUGCAUCUGUCACAAUCUAAAUGUUUAUACAUUUAAGUGUUACAAUUAGAGCUGUUUAUAGUAGGUUUAUGUGACACAGGUGUGAAAGCAGAAAUACUCAAAGAUGAUGAUUUUUAACAUUUCUUUAAACCUCACACAAACGCUGAUCUUGCCAUAGAGCAUUACAUUGGGUGACCAGUGCUGAGGAGUAGCUAUUAAAAUCCAUUAGUGGCAUUAGCUUACCUUGGAUCCCCUUUGCCUGUAAAGAAAUUCCACCUUAUGUUUCCACCUAGGAUUUGGAAAGAGUGCUCUGUUUGGUAGAUAAUGUUUCUGGAGUUUAGCCACAGAGUGUCUUCCUGGCUGGUGGGGACUAUUACAGAUAAAGACCAGCCUUUCUCACUGGUGGAGCAAAUCUGCCUGGGCAGCUAGUGCUACUAAAUGCAAUCUAUGGAGCAGUCUCUAAAUGCAACCAACAGCUGUUGAAAAAUGAGACUAAUCACUUGGGUGGCCUGCUCACGGCACUUUAGUUCUAGACUAAUAAUGGUCUAAACUAGUCUUUCUAGAAGAAAAAGAUGCUUAACCUCUUUGAGGUAGCAGAUCUGGAGCUGCAGCUUUAAAAUAUAAAACACAUUAGUGCAAUAUGUUAGGAAAUACUACCUCCUUAACCAAAAGAGAAAAAAUAUAGUGUUUUAAGGUUUAAAAAAAUAAUCUGAAGUUUAAACAUUUUGCAGUUCUUGUUGAGGUUUAAAUCAGUGUUACACUCAUUUUCCAAGUUUGUACCCCUGAGUCAGAUAUUGAAUAAACAUUGUACAGUAGGUACAGAAACUAGUGUUCUGGUUAUCAAACAACAAACAUGAAUAGCCAUUGUUUAAAGUGUUAAAUGAUUAUGAUAUUUUUACCCAUGGGACUUUAACUAUGCACAGAUUAAAGUGCUAAUUUAAUGUUUACAUAACAGAUUUAAUUAACUACCAAUCUAAGCAUGUAAUUUCCAACUGUUAGACUGAAAGUUUACCUACCGCCAUCACCCUCAUCUAGACAGUUUGUAAACUGAUUUGGAUUUAGUUAUUCUGAAUAUUCAUUAUAAUCACCAGUUAACAACAGAAGUAGAACACCUUUCAAAGUAACAAGAUUUAUGAGAUCACAUUGAUCUUGAAACACAACUUGAAAGCAGAGUUCUUUGACUAGGAUUACGAGAUCUAACCUCAAAACCCCUAUACCUUCGUAGUGUAAUAAUUGUGUUUCUAUAACUGAGUUUUUAGCCUGUAUUAAAAUGGAACAUUAACACUUUAACUUAAAUGUGGUAACAUUCAGCUCACACA